GAGAUACCAGUGUAACCAUGAAUUCUGACAGUGAGGCUUGCAUCACUGAAGAUUAAGAAGGAAAAGGUCUGAAUCUUCGUACAAUUUGUCGUGUAAAAUGGUAGCCCUCUGUAAUCUACAGGACACAGCAGAGGGCAACCAGUCAUGGCAGUCUUCAGGUUUAAGCUUUGGGAAUUUGCUUGGCUUGAAUUCUGACAGGAGUCUUCCAGGUGACGGCAAUAUUGAGACACGAGAAAAGCACCUUGACAUGUCUUCUAAAGAGGUUGGCUGGAAUGGAAAUACUUGCACUAUCUUGGCAAAUUUCUUACAGUGUCACCAGUGAACUCACUGAAUCGAUAACUCACACAGCACGAGGGAAAGGCCUGCCUUGAGUCCAGGAGUGGAUAAUUGACUUUAUGCUGCAUUUGACUUCAGUGAUCCUUGGAGAGAGAGGACAUUUGAGUCAGCUACAGCUCGGUGAUAUUGUCAAGUGCCUAGUCAGCCAUGCCGGGGGCACAGGUGUGGUUGGCAGUGCCUGUUCACAUCCAGAUCUUAAGCUCUGCCACAGCAGCCUCUAAUUUCUGUGCCCAAGGGCAGGUGAGCUGUGAGUGUGGUGUUCUUUCCCAGAAGUGAUGAUCCCUACCUCAGCUCCCAGC
rnacentral:lncRNA from 1 species